rnacentral:rRNA from 1 species
GACGUAGGGCGCGAGCGUUGUCCGGAUUUAUUGGGCGUAAAGGGCUCGUAGGCGGCCAACUAAGUCAGACGUGAAAUCCCUCGGCUUAACCGGGGAACUGCGUCUGAUACUGGGUGGCUUGAAUCCGGGAGAGGGAUGCGGAAUUCCAGGUGUAGCGGUGAAAUGCGUAGAUAUCUGGAGGAACACCGGCGGCGAAGGCGGCUGCCUGGACCGGCACUGACGCUGAGGCGCGAAAGCUAGGGGAGCAAACAGG